UACGGGGGGGGCAAGCGUUAUCCGGAAUUACUGGGCGUAAAGCGCACGUAGGCGGCUUUCUAAGUCGGGGGUGAAAUCCUGGAGCUCAACUCCAGAACUGCCUUCGAUACUGGAAAGCUCGAGUCCGGGAGAGGUGAGUGGAACUGCGAGUGUAGAGGUGAAAUUCGUAGAUAUUCGCAAGAACACCAGUGGCGAAGGCGGCUCACUGGCCCGGUACUGACGCUGAGGUGCGAAAGCGUGGGGAGCAAACCGG
rnacentral:rRNA from 1 species